GUUUUCAGAGAUGAAUUCCUUCAGUUCGGCUGGACCGGUGACAGGUGCUGCAUGGCUGUCGUCAGCUCGUGUCGUGAGAUGUUGGGUUAAGUCCCGCAACGAGCGCAACCCUCGCCAUUAGUUGCCAGCAUUUAGUUGGGCACUCUAAUGGGACUGCCGGUGAUAAGCCGGAGGAAGGUGGGGAUGACGUCAAGUCCUCAUGGCCCUUAUGGGCUGGGCUACACACGUGCUACAAUGGCGGCGACAGAGGGUUGCGAGCUCGCGAGGGCAAGCUAAUCCCCAAAAGCCGUCUCAGUUCGGAUUGUUCUCUGCAACUCGAGAGCAUGAAGGUGGAAUCGCUAGUAAUCGCAGAUCAGCAUGCUGCGGUGAUACGUUCCCGGGCCUUGUACACACCGCCCGUCACACCAUGGGAGUUGGUUCUACCCGAAGCUGGUGCGCUAACCUUUUAGGAGGCAGCCAACCACGGUAGGAUUAGCGACUGGGGUGAAGUCGUAACAAGGUAACC
rnacentral:rRNA from 1 species